rnacentral:rRNA from 1 species
AGAGUUUGAUCCUGGCUCAGAGUGAACGCUGGCGGCAGGCCUAACACAUGCAAGUCGAACGGCAGCACAGCAGUAGCAAUACUGUGGGUGGCGAGUGGCGGACGGGUGAGGAAUACAUGGGAAUCUGCCCUGUCGUGGGGGAUAACGUAGGGAAACUUACGCUAAUACCGCAUACGACCGGAAGGUGAAAGCGGCGGACCGCAAGGCGUCGCGCGACUGGAUGAGCCCAUGUCGGAUUAGCUAGUUGGCGGGGUAAAGGCCCACCAAGGCGACGAUCCGUAGCUGGUCUGAGAGGAUGAUCAGCCACACUGGAACUGAGACACGGUCCAGACUCCUACGGGAGGCAGCAGUGGGGAAUAUUGGACAAUGGGCGCAAGCCUGAUCCAGCCAUGCCGCGUGAGUGAAGAAGGCCUUCGGGUUGUAAAGCUCUUUUGUCCGGAAAGAAAAGCUCUCGGUUAAUACCCGGGGGUUCUGACGGUACCGGAAGAAUAAGCACCGGCUAACUUCGUGCCAGCAGCCGCGGUAAUACGAAGGGUGCAAGCGUUACUCGGAAUUACUGGGCGUAAAGCGUGCGUAGGUGGUUCGUUAAGUCUGAUGUGAAAGCCCUGGGCUCAACCUGGGAAUGGCAUUGGAUACUGGCGAUCUAGAGUGCGGUAGAGGGCAGUGGAAUUCCCGGUGUAGCAGUGAAAUGCGUAGAGAUCGGGAGGAACAUCUGUGGCGAAGGCGACUGCCUGGACCAGCACUGACACUGAGGCACGAAAGCGUGGGGAGCAAACAGGAUUAGAUACCCUGGUAGUCCACGCCCUAAGCGAUGCGAACUGGAUGUUGGGUGCAACUAGGCACUCAGUAUCGAAGCUAACGCGUUAAGUUCGCCGCCUGGGGAGUAC